rnacentral:rRNA from 1 species
UACAGAGGGUGCGAGCGUUGUUCGGAAUUACUAGGCGUAAAGCGCGCGUAGGUGGUCUUUUAAGUCCGACUGUGAAAUCCCGGGGCUCAACCCCGUGGGCUGCAGGGGAUACUGGGAGACUGGAGACACGUAGAGGCAAGCGGAAUUCCGGGUGUAGCGGUGGAAUGCGUAGAGAUCCGGAAGAACACCGGAGGCGAAGGCGGCUUGCUGGGCGUGAUCUGACGCUGAGGCGCGAAAGCGUGGGGAGCGAACAGG